GACGAACGCUGGCGGCGUGCCUAAUACAUGCAAGUUGAGCGCUGAAGGUUGGUACUUGUACCAACUGGAUGAGCAGCGAACGGGUGAGUAACGCGUGGGGAAUCUGCCUUGAGCGGGGGACAACAUUUGGAAACGAAUGCUAAUACCGCAUAAAAACUUUAAACACAAGUUUUAAGUUUUAAAGAUGCAAUUGCAUCACUCAAAGAUGAUCCCGCGUUGUAUUAGCUAGUUGGUGAGGUAAAGGCUCACCAAGGCGAUGAUACAUAGCCGACCUGAGAGGGUGAUCGGCCACAUUGGGACUGAGACACGGCCCAAACUCCUACGGGAGGCAGCAGUAGGGAAUCUUCGGCAAUGGACGAAAGUCUGACCGAGCAACGCCGCGUGAGUGAAGAGGGUUUUCGGAUCGUAAAACUCUGUUGGUAGAGAAGAACGUUGGUGAGAGUGGAAAGCUCAUCAAGUGACGGUAACUACCCAGAAAGGGACGGCUAACUACGUG
rnacentral:rRNA from 1 species